GAUGAACGCUAGCUACAGGCUUAACACAUGCAAGUCGAGGGGAAACGAUAGAGAAAGCUUGCUUUUUCUAGGCGUCGACCGGCGCACGGGUGAGUAACGCGUAUCCAACCUGCCCAUCACUUGGGGAUAACCCUGCGAAAGUAAGACUAAUACCCAUGACGUCUCUAGAAGACAUCUGAAAGAGAUUAAAGAUUUAUCGGUGAUGGAUGGGGAUGCGUCUGAUUAGCUUGUUGGCGGGGUAACGGCCCACCAAGGCGACGAUCAGUGGGGGUUCUGAGAGGAAGGUCCCCCACAUUGGAACUGAGACACGGUCCAAACUCCUACGGGAGGCAGCAGUGAGGAAUAUUGGUCAAUGGGCGAGAGCCUGAACCAGCCAAGUAGCGUGCAGGAUGACGGCCCUAUGGGUUGUAAACUGCUUUUAUAAGGGAAUAAAGUGAGUCUCGUGAGACUUUUUGCAUGUACCUUAUGAAUAAGGACCGGCUAAUUCCGUGCCAGCCGCCGCGGUAA
rnacentral:rRNA from 1 species